rnacentral:rRNA from 1 species
GACGAACGCUGGCGGCGUGCUUAACACCUGCAAGUCGAACGGAAAGGCCCUGCUUUUGUGGGGUGCUCGAGUGGCGAACGGGUGAGUAACACGUGAGUAACCUGCCCUUGACUUUGGGAUAACUUCAGGAAACUGAGGCUAAUACCGGCUAGGAGCUCCUGCUGCAUGGUGGGGGUUGGAACGUUUCGGCGGUUGGGGAUGGACUCGCGGCUUAUCAGCUUGUUGGUGGGGUAGUUGCUUACCAAGGCUUUGACGGGUAGCCGGCCUGAGAGGGUGACCGGCCACAUUGGGACUGAGAUACGGCCCAGACUCCUACGGGAGGCAGCAGUGGGGAAUAUUGCACAAUGGGCGGAAGCCUGAUGCAGCAACGCCGCGUGCGGGAUGACGGCCUUCGGGUUGUAAAGCGCUUGCGCCUGUGACGAAGCGUGAGUGACGGUAAUGGGUAAAGAAGCACCGGCUAACUACGUG